rnacentral:rRNA from 1 species
UACGUAGGGUGCGAGCGUUGUCCGGAAUUACUGGGCGUAAAGAGCUCGUAGGUGGUUUGUCGCGUUGUUCGUGAAAACUCACAGCUCAACUGUGGGCGUGCGGGCGAUACGGGCAGACUGGAGUACUGCAGGGGAGACUGGAAUUCCUGGUGUAGCGGUGGAAUGCGCAGAGAUCGGGAGGAACACCCGUAGCGAAGGCGGCACUCUGGGCCGGUACUGACGCUGAGGAGCGAAAGCGUGGGGAGCAAACAGG